rnacentral:rRNA from 1 species
CCUACGGGAGGCAGCAGUGGGGAAUCUUGCGCAAUGGGCGAAAGCCUGACGCAGCGACGCCGCGUGAGGGAUGAAGGUCUUCGGAUCGUAAACCUCCGUCAGCUGGGAAGAACGGUCACUGUGCUAAUCAGCAGUGAAUUGACGGUACCUGCAAAGGAAGCACCGGCUAACUCCGUGCCAGCAGCCGCGGUAAUACGGUGGGUGCGAGCGUUAAUCGGAAUUACUGGGCGUAAAGCGCUCGUAGGCGGUAUGUCAAGUCAAGGGGGAAAUCCCCGCGCUCAACGUGGGAACUGCCUUUGAAACUGGCAAACGUGAGUGUGAGAGAGGAUAGUGGAAUUCCAGGUGUAGGAGUGAAAUCCGUAGAUAUCUGGAGGAACAUCAGUGGCGAAGGCGACUAUCUGGCACAUAACUGACGCUGAGGAGCGAAAGCGUGGGUAGCAAACAGGAUUAGAUACCCGGGUAGUC